UGGGGAAUAUUGGACAAUGGGCGAAAGCCUGAUCCAGCAAUGCCACGUGAGUGAUGAAGGCCUUCGGGUUGUAAAGCUCUUUCAACAAGGAAGAUAAUGACGGUACUUGUAGAAGAAGCACCGGCUAACUCCGUGCCAGCAGCCGCGGUAAUACGGAGGGUGCUAGCGUUGUUCGGAAUUACUGGGCGUAAAGAGCGCGUAGGCGGUUUGUUAAGUUGGAAGUGAAAUCCCGGAGCUCAACUCCGGAACUGCUUUCAAAACUGGCUUACUAGAGUUAGGUAGGGGAUAGUGGAAUUCCCAAUGUAGAGGUGAAAUUCGUAGAUAUUGGGAGGAACACCAGAAGCGAAGGCGACUAUCUAGGCCUUAACUGACGCUGAGGCGCGAAAGUGUGGGGAGCAAACAGG
rnacentral:rRNA from 1 species